GCACAAUGGCUUUCUAUUUGCCAGGAGUCGCUCCGCGCACAUUUCGCUACGGAGACAAAGUGGAGUUAAAGGUGAACA
rnacentral:tRNA from 1 species